GAUGAAGAACGCAGCGAAAUGCGAUAAGUAAUGUGAAUUGCAGAAUUCAGUGAAUCAUCGAAUCUUUGAACGCACCUUGCGCCUUUUGGUAUUCCGAAAGGCAUGCCUGUUUGAGUGUCAUGAAAUCUCAAUCCUCCUAGGUUUUUGACCUGGUUGGACUUGGACAUGGGCGUCUGCCAGCAAUGGCUCGCCUUAAAUGACUUAGUGGAACAUCCCACAUCAGUGUUAGACGUAAUAAGUUUCGUCUCUCCUUGUGGUGAUGACUGCUCAUAAUCUGCCAUCGCGCACUUUUGACUUUGACCUCAAAUCAGGUAGGGCUACCCGCUGAACUUAAGCAUAUCAAUAAGCGAGGA
rnacentral:misc_RNA from 1 species